CAACAGUCCUUAUAUUUUCUGUUUGUAAUAUGAAAUGAUUCUUAUUUGUGGUCUGGAGUCUGGUUGUGUUUGAACAAAGUCGGCCAGAAUGAUAUAGUUGUUUUUUCAAGUUGGUUAUAUUAAUUUUUCCAGAAUAGUGAUUAUUUAUUAGUUCACACAGUACAUAGUACCACCGACCGCUAACUACAUUUUGUACAGAUUUUGCAGGGAUGUAGAUAUAUAUGGUGAUCACUAUGAUCUAAGUGUUUCAGUUCGUAUUUAGCAGGAUCACAUGUUGACCAAUGACUCUUUGUUUUCUCACUGAUCCAGUAUACUCAAGAACUUGAAUAUUGUGUUUAAUGUGAGUUAUUGACACUUCCUUGAUUUUUGCAACUCAGGAGUGAAGAUGGCCUUCCUUUGGUAGGCGUAGUGAAUGAAUUUUCUUCUAAUUCAGGCCAUGGUUCAUACCGCUUGGUGGCUGGAUCUGCCAUGGAGUGGCUACCAUGGGCCAACAAGAGCUCAACAAGAGGGCCAAAUUGUUGUUCUUUCCCAGAUCAUCUAAAUCAGAUGGAUGGGCUCCAAACUCCCAGUGCCAUUUGUCACUUUUGUGUUUGAAUUUUUACUCGAGUGCCUUUGGACAUAUGGUACUAUGGAGAGGUGACAUUAGCACAAUUGAUGGUUGCUUCUCCUCUCCUGUCGACUAAAUCUUCUUCCUCUAUAUGUCAAUAUAUCAACAAAACAAGAGAUCUCUAAUAUCAUUGUUUUAUGGAGUUCACAGAUUGUUGAAGAUUUUUGCUGCCAUGGAAUUGUGAGUUUGUGACUAUACAUUCUUGUCCUAUAUGUGAAUUGAAGAUAUAUAGUCUCUUUGUGAAUGCAAAUAUCCAGGUAUGUACGCAAGUCCCAACUUUUAUUUACAUAUUUAUUUAUGAAAUGCAUGCAAGCAAGUCACAUCUUACAGACCAUUGCUCACUUAUAGGUAAAUCUAAUGAGUCAUAAAUUAACCGGUUGGAGAUCGGUAGACAGUCAAGUCUAUUGAUAACUAGAGUUUAGAGCUCAAAAUCCUUCUAACUUCUCUACUAAUUGUAUUUUUUUGACAUCUUUCAG
rnacentral:lncRNA from 1 species